UACAGAGGUCUCAAGCGUUGUUCGGAUUCAUUGGGCGUAAAGGGUCCGUAGGCGGCGCGGUAAGUCGGGUGUGAAAUCUCGGGGCUUAACUCCGAAACUGCAUUCGAUACUGCCGUGCUUGAGGACUGGAGAGGAGACUGGAAUUUACGGUGUAGCGGUGAAAUGCGUAGAUAUCGUAAGGAAGACCAGUGGCGAAGGCGGGUCUCUGGACAGUUCCUGACGCUGAGGCACGAAGGUCAGGGGAGCAAACGGG
rnacentral:rRNA from 1 species